AUGAACGCUGGCGGCGUGCCUAAUACAUGCAAGUCGAGCGAACAGACGAGGAGCUUGCUCCUCUGACGUUAGCGGCGGACGGGUGAGUAACACGUGGAUAACCUACCUAUAAGACUGGGAUAACUUCGGGAAACCGGAGCUAAUACCGGAUAAUAUAUUGAACCGCAUGGUUCAAUAGUGAAAGACGGUUUUGCUGUCACUUAUGGAUGGAUCCGCGCCGCAUUAGCUAGUUGGUAAGGUAACGGCUUACCAAGGCAACGAUGCGUAGCCGACCUGAGAGGGUGAUCGGCCACACUGGAACUGAGACACGGUCCAGACUCCUACGGGAGGCAGCAGUAGGGAAUCUUCCGCAAAGGGCGAAAGCCUGACGGAGCAACGCCGCGUGAGUGAUGAAGGUCUUCGGAUCGUAAAACUCUGUUAUUAGGGAAGAACAAAUGUGUAAGUAACUAUGCACGUCUUGACGGUACCUAAUCAGAAAGCCACGGCUAACUACGUG
rnacentral:rRNA from 1 species